ACAUCUCAACUCUUCGCGGUUUGCCCGUGACGAGCUUGGACUUUGGGGGUCUUGCCGGCCUGUGGGUCGGCUCCUCUCAAACAAAUCAGCUUGCCGGUGUUUGGUGGCGUCACAGGUGUGAUAACUAUCUACGCUUGUGGUUCUCUGCCAGGUAACCUCCAGCAAUACGGGGGUUCGCCGGAGCUCACAAAUGUCUCUCCUCGGUGAGGACGGCUCUUUGAAC
rnacentral:misc_RNA from 1 species